AUGAACGCUGGCGGCGUGCCUAAUACAUGCAAGUCGAGCGAACAGACGAGGAGCUUGCUCCUCUGACGUUAGCGGCGGACGGGUGAGUAACACGUGGAUAACCUACCUAUAAGACUGGGGUAACUUCGGGAAACCGGAGCUAAUACCGGAUAAUAUAUUGAACCGCAUGGUUCAAUAGUGAAAGACGGUUUUGCUGUCACUUAUAGAUGGAUCCGCGCCGCAUUAGCUAGUUGGUAAGGUAACGGCUUACCAAGGCAACGAUGCGUAGCCGACCUGAGAGGGUGAUCGGCCACACUGGAACUGAGACACGGUCCAGACUCCUACGGGAGGCAGCAGUAGGGAAUCUUCCGCAGUGGGCGAAAGCCUGACGGAGCAACGCCGCGUGAGUGAUGAAGGUCUUCGGAUCGUAAAACUCUGUUAUUAGGGAAGAACAAAUGUGUAAGUAACUAUGCACGUCUUGACGGUACCUAAUCAGAAAGCCACGGCUAACUACGU
rnacentral:rRNA from 1 species